CAACCCUCGAGCCCGACUUCCUCGCGGAGGACGGCUCGGCGUUGGGGGACGGCACGCUCCCCCCGGUUCGCCGGGGACGCCGCCCCCGAAAUUCAGUGGCGGCCCUCGGAGGCGACCUCUGCGUAGUAACUCAACCUCGCAAAGGGAAGCUCCGUGCGGCCACGCCGUGAAACCCCAACUCUUCAA
rnacentral:misc_RNA from 2 species